GCCAGUGUGGUGUAGUGGUUUGCGUGUUGGACCACAACUCUGGAGGCUGGGGUUUGGUUCCCAGCUUGGCCA